AGCAAGAAAACACUUUACUUUUUGUUCUCAUCAAAUAAACCCAUCUCAGCCUGAUACAACAGUUAAUAAAAGUGACAAACCAUUUACAUUUAGACAAAAAAGUAGUUUGGGUAGAUCUCCAUAUAUCAGAAUGAAUAGUCAUAAAAAUGAUCAAACUUCUAUUAUCUGUUGAAAGAUAAGAUUGCCUUGUGUGUUUAACAAAUUUAUAAGCAUCACAAACUAGUAAUUCUG
rnacentral:misc_RNA from 1 species